CAGCACCCCGAGUGGUCGGGACGAUUAUUGGGCCUAAAGCAUCCGUAGCCGGUUUUACAAGUCCUCCGUUAAAUCCAGCUGCUUAACAGAUGGGCUGCGGAGGAUACUAUAAGACUAGGAGGCAGGAGAGGCAAGCGGUACUCAGUGGGUAGGGGUAAAAUCCGUUGAUCCAUUGAAGACCACCAGUGGCGAAGGCGGCUUGCCAGAAUGCGCUCGACGGUGAGGGAUGAAAGCUGGGGGAGCAAAACGGAUUAGAGACCCGAGUAGUCC
rnacentral:rRNA from 1 species